ensembl:lncRNA
AGCUUACUUCCCAUCGCUUAAUUUGUAUCUCUUCAUUCUAUAGUACUUGUAGAAUUAUCGUUGUAAACUUUAGUAGUUAAAGCGAAGGCUUUUGGAGAAAAUUAUUCCCUUGAAUAUUAGACUUGUGUCUCUUCCUUCUCAUUCCUUAAAAAAAGACCCUGCCCCAGUUCUCCUUUAGGGAAAAACUAUUUGUGGAAAACAGUUUUGUUUUAAAAUUAUGCAUGUGGUUACAGAGGGCUAGUUAAAAGUUAUAAAGGAAGAAAGGCCCCUGCUUCAACAUCUUUCUUAUUUGAAUCUAUGAAAAUAGUUUACUGGCAUGGUUCAUACCAGUCCAUUUAAUUUUUUUCCAGAAUUCACUUUCCUGUGUUUCACCUGACCUUCCAUGAUGAUAACUGAAUAUAGGAACAAAUUAGCAUUUAACUCUAUUUUCCAUAUGACGUCCCCCACUUGCAGAAUUGUACCACUUCAUCGAGGGGAGGCUCCAUUCCCGUAUUCAGACUGGAGCCUUGCUGUUUGCAAAGGCCGCAUCACAUAUACCCUGGAUGACAUUUUUGUUACUGAAAACAUCUUAAAGGAGCAGGUGGAAGGGACACUUCACCCAUUACCUCGUUAUUAAAGUCCUUCCACAGGUAGUGUUUUCCCCUGGUGUCCACAGUGGUAUGUCUUCUCCCAUGCAGGAAGCAACAUGGCCAAGUGAAGCUGCAGCCAGAAGAUACUAAGGCCUGACAGUGAUGGACAUAAAUGAUUACUGUUUUUAGAUUCAGUGGAUGUGCCCGGGCUUCCCGAGAUGUGUUUGCAUCUGGAUGCCGAGGAUGCUGUGCACACAAGCUCUCGGGUGAUGCGGCCAUGGAGCUUGGAGGUGGCUGUCUGUGGACUAGAGUGUUCCCCAGUCACUGCAAAGGUGAAGUGCAGUAUGUCACUAGUUCUGUUGAGGAUGCUUAAUUCUACAAUGCAUUGUUGAAUAUUUGCUGCUUUAGUCAAAGGAUAGAAAAAGUAAAAUAAAUUUUAUGUUAUUUUUUUUCUAAAAUAAAAUGUCUUUAUUUGAUUGAAUGACUAUUGAUGAUUAAAAAGAGUUCUAAAAAUUCUUUUGCUUUCAUGAUUCUUGUAGUAAUCAGAUAUCAUUAGUUGGGCCUAAAAUCGCUUUCUAACCUGCUUCUAUUAUACUUACAGGAGAAAAAAAGAUGACAGACGUCCACAUGUACUUUUUAGUUCUCUAUAUUACAGCCUUCCAACAGAACGUUUCUUCCUGACAAAUGUGUCAGUGCAGUUCAGAUCCUAGAAGAAUGUUGCCUCUCCUGGCAGGACCUUCCCUGUGUGUGGGACAUGAGAGUGAUUAAUUUCACUUCCAGUGCCUUCCUCUCUGAGCGGAGUGCUUCUGUAGAGACUCCUAAUUCAGUGAAACCUGUUUAGGGGAUCAUCCCUGCUAGACAGACAGCUGUGAUCGGGCAUUCGCUUCCCAGCAUGGAUUUCAGAUUCGGACCAAUCAAGAGCCGGGGCUGUGGAACACCUGUCAGCGACACUGCUACAAGGAGACUAGCUCUGUAAUCGAAUUUCAUUGUACUUCAGAAAAAGGUUUAUUUUCAAUGUGGCGUCUGCUUUUAUGAUUCAUCCCUCUCAGCUGAGACAUCAAUUUGGGGCUUAUUUAUGGUGGUGGUCUAGAGUGAAACGAGAAGCACCAAGGACGUGCUUCAAAGGCAGCCUUUCCCAGACAUUUGGUUUGCAGCUUUCUCGUAUGGAAAAAGUACAAAAGAAAUCCAAAACUUUAGCUUGAAGUUCUGUGUGUGAAUAUAAUCAGCGAUAGGUAUUCUUGAGCACAUUUUCAGAAUGUAGAAGCUGGGGAGUUCGUGUGUUUGGUGACAUCUGGGGAACUUCACUUGUGGAAAUCCGUUCUGCUCAUCUGUGAGCAGCACAACCAUCAUUGAUACCGAUGGGUUCCAAAGGCCAUGCUCAGCUUUCACCUUGGCCCUAAUUGGAGGACCUGCUAAGCCCGUAACACCAGGUACCUUCUCAUAGCUGCAGACCGCAGAGUGUAACUAUCAGAAGACAAACUUCACUGUGCAAACUAAUUUAAUGGUCUAACUAUGUGCAGCCCGGAAUAUCAGUUAAUUUUCAAAACAUUUUAUUCUACAGCAAUUAGCUCAGGUCCUGGAGGGCAAAAUGACAAGAGGUUACUCGUUCACUAUGUAUUUAAUUAAUUGAAAAAUGCUCCAAUUGCCUUUACAGUUGUUAUUAGAGAGUGGAAUCAGUGUUGCCAGCGCUCAACCAUAAUUGGAACCCCAGGGAAUUAAAUAUUUAGCAUUAGUAAUGUAACAGCACUUAGGACACAAAUUUCUAUUUUCGUAAUGAAAGCUAUACACUGUGAGUGCAAGCUGCUGAAAGGACAGCUGUGACAAGCGAAACGGCCUGGGACAUUUCAAUAAGACACCUCAUUGGACAGCAAGUCUUACCACAUUACGCGUUUGUAAGAGACCUGCAAGUUUAAUUCCCACGAGGAACUCAUAGUCCAAGUCUUUAGCGUCCUAAUUGCAUGCAGGAUGAACGCUUGGGCAAAUGUCUUCCUGUAAAUGGCUGAAAUUCAUCCUCCUUUUUAAAUAAUCACAUAUAAGUUCGUGCCUUGUCAAUUUAAAAAUUCCGGGACUGUCGGAAUAAGGGUCUUGUUUGUUUUUCGUUUAAUUAUAUUUUAAGCACAUAUGCUUUCAGCGCUCCAAUGAGAAAAGUUGGCUAUUUGGGCUCUAAUGAGCUGCAGUGCUAGACACUGGAGACCCUGAGGGAUUCACUCCAUAAAUUAGCUGGAUAAAAAAGUACUUGGUUAGGAGAGAGUUGAUGGCUGAGCUGUUGGUGGAACCAGUUAGAGUGUGUCUCACACUCCGUUUCAUUCUAAGCAGGCCCUGUAGAGACUUUAACAGCUGCCUGUUUAAACUGCUCAACUUGUCAAAGUGUAUUAUAUUACUCCGCCAGUAAGGAGUAUUAAAGGGCAUUCGACUUCACCUCUGUGUUCCGAGGGGAUCAGGUUGAUAAACACAACUGGCUUAGGCUGGCCUUAUUUUAAUUUGUUUAUGGCAGCUAAGUAAUAUUGAAGGGCCAUGUUUUAAAUUUGCAAACGUUACCUUCCCGGGGAGCCAGAACUUCCAAAAUAUGAUCUACAGUGGAAACAAGGAAUUGAGACACUUAUUACAGAAUGUCAGACAUAGAAAGAUAUCUGGUUUUGAUGUUCUUGGGCUACAUUUCAAAGAACUUGAGCGCCCACAAGUGAACUGAUACUUGGGAGGGUUGGUUCCUUUUCCUUUAUCAUUUUCAGGAAAAUAAAAGUCACAAGAAAUAAUGUCGCAACUUUCUUUUGAUUUUCUAUCAUUCCUG